AGCGAACGCUGGCGGCAGGCCUAACACAUGCAAGUCGAACGGACCCUUCGGGGUUAGUGGCGGACGGGUGAGUAACACGUGGGAACGUGCCCUUUGGUUCGGAACAACUCAGGGAAACUUGAGCUAAUACCGAAUGUGCCCUUCGGGGGAAAGAUUUAUCGCCAUUGGAGCGGCCCGCGUCUGAUUAGCUUGUUGGUGAGGUAAUGGCUCACCAAGGCGACGAUCAGUAGCUGGUCUGAGAGGAUGAUCAGCCACAUUGGGACUGAGACACGGCCCAAACUCCUACGGGAGGCAGCAGUGGGGAAUCUUGCGCAAUGGGCGAAAGCCUGACGCAGCCAUGCCGCGUGAAUGAUGAAGGUCUUAGGAUUGUAAAAUUCUUUCACCGGGGACGAUAAUGACGGUACCCGGAGAAGAAGCCCCGGCUAACUUCGUGCCAGCAGCCGCGGUAAGAC
rnacentral:rRNA from 1 species